rnacentral:rRNA from 1 species
GACGUAGGGGGCCAGCGUUGUUCGGAAUUACUGGGGGUAAAGGGUUCGUAGGCGGUGCGGCAAGUUGGGAGUGAAAUCUCUGGGCUUAACCCAGAGGCUGCUUCCGAAACUGCUGCGCUUGAGUGUGGGAGAGGCGCGUGGAAUUGCAGGUGUAGCGGUGAAAUGCGUAGAUAUCUGCAGGAACACCCGUGGCGAAAGCGGCGCGCUGGACCACUACUGACGCUGAGGAACGAAAGCUAGGGGAGCAAACAGG